rnacentral:tRNA from 1 species
UGAGGAUAUAGCUUAGUGGUAAAGUACUUGUCUAGUAUUAGUAAGGCCCUGGGUUUGAUCCCCAGUACCACAA